UCGCGUGACCAUGGCGAGGAGGUCACACCCGUUCCCAUCCCGAACACGGCAGUUAAGCUCCUCUGCGGCGGAAGUACUCGGUGGGUGACUGCCUGGAAGAUAAGCACGUUGCGCGGA
rnacentral:rRNA from 1 species